rnacentral:rRNA from 1 species
UACGUAGGGUGCGAGCGUUACUCGGAAUUACUGGGCGUAAAGCGCACGUAGUCGGCUUUGCAAGUCGGUUGUGAAAUCCCCGGGCUCAACCUGGGAACUGCAUCCGAGACUGCAUUGCUAGAGUAUGGGAGAGGAAAGCGGAAUUUCUGGUGUAGCAGUGAAAUGCGUAGAUAUCAGAAGGAACAUCAGUGGCGAAGGCGGCUUUCUGGACCAAUACUGACGAUCAGGUGCGAAAGCGUGGGGAGCAAACAGG